rnacentral:ncRNA from 1 species
AUCUUCGGGGCGGGGUGAAACUCCCUACCGGCGGUUAGAGUCCGCGAACUCGGGAACGUUAUUUUCCGGGCCGAUCCGGUGAAAUUCCGGAGCCGACAGUCAGAGUCUGGAUGAAAGAAGAUG